CCUACGGGAGGCAGCAGUGGGGAAUAUUGCACAAUGGGGGAAACCCUGAUGCAGCGACGCCGCGUGAGUGAAGAAGUAAUUCGUUACGUAAAGCUCUAUCAGCAGGGAAGAAAGAGAAAGUUGACGGUACCUGAAGAAUAAGCCCCGGCUAACCACGUGCCAGCAGCCGCGGUAAUACGUAGGGAGCGAGCGGUAUCCGGAAGUAUUGGGCGUAAAGGGUGCGUAGGCGGAAUGCCAAGUCAGCGGUAAAAUCGCGGGGCUCAACCUCGCUCCGCCGUUGAAACUGGCGUUCUUGAGUGGGCGAGAAGUAUGCGGAAUGCGUGGUGUAGCGGUGAAAUGCAUAGAUAUCACGCAGAACUCCGAUUGCGAAGGCAGCAUACCGGCGCCCAACUGACGCUGAAGCACGAAAGCGUGGGUAUCGAACAGGAUUAGAUACCCUAGUAGUC
rnacentral:rRNA from 1 species